UACGUAGGGGGCAAGCGUUAUCCGGAUUUACUGGGUGUAAAGGGAGCGCAGACGGCAGUGCAAGUCUGGAGUGAAAGCCCGGGGCUCAACUCCGGGACUGCUUUUGAAACUGCGUUGCUAGAUUGCGGGAGAGGCAAGUGGAAUUCCUAGUGUAGCGGUGAAAUGCGUAGAUAUUAGGAGGAACACCAGUGGCGAAGGCGGCUUGCUGGACCGUGAAUGACGCUGAGGCUCGCAAGCGUGGGGAGCAAACAGG
rnacentral:rRNA from 1 species